ensembl:miRNA mdo-mir-302d mdo-mir-302d
CCUCUGCUUUAACAUGGAAGUGCUUGCUGUGAUUUUAAAAAAUUAAGUGCUUCCAUGUUUGAGUUGUGGUG